rnacentral:rRNA from 1 species
CCUACGGGCGGCAGCAGUGAGGAAUAUUGGUCAAUGGACGCAAGUCUGAACCAGCCAUGCCGCGUGAAGGAAGACGGCUCUAUGAGUUGUAAACUGCUUUUGUAAGGGGGUAAUCGAAGAUACGCGUAGCUGUAUGAAAGUAUCGUACGAAUAAGGAUCGGCUAACUCCGUGCCAGCAGCCGCGGUAAUACGGAGGAUUCAAGCGUUAUCCGGAUUUAUUGGGUUUAAAGGGUGCGUAGGCGGUCGGAUAAGUUAGGGGUGAAAUCGCGAGGGUCAACUUUGGAAUUGCCUCUGAUACUGUUCGGCUAGAGAGCAGUUGCGGUAGGCGGAAUGAAUGGUGUAGCGGUGAAAUGCUUAGAUAUCAGACAGAACACCGAUUGCGAAGGCAGCUUACCAAGCUGCUACUGACGUUGAGGCACGAAAGCGUGGGUAGCAAACAGGAUUAGAUACCCCUGUAGUC